GGUCUUGUAGUUCAACGGAUAGAAUAGAAGUUUCCUAAACUUUUGAUCCAAGUUCGAUUCUUGGCAGGACCAC
rnacentral:tRNA from 1 species